GUCUUACUCUGUUAGCUCAUAUACUAAAAUUGGAACAAUACAAGAAGAUUAGCACAGCCCCUGCGCAAGGAUGACACGCAAAUUCAUGAAGCGUUCCUCAUUUUC
rnacentral:snRNA from 1 species